GGGAACUGUCCUGUGGGGAUCCUUACUCUAGACGGGACUCAAACUGCUGCCUCAGGAAGGUCUCACAGGGAAGACUGGUGGUGACGGUGGUCAGAGCCUGGGGACUGUGGGGAGACUACCAAUGGAUAGCGGGAGACACUGAAGCGUACGCUGUGGUCACCUACGGUUCCAAGACCCAUCAGACCGAUGUGAUUCCAUCCAAUAAUCCUGUCUGGAAUGCUACCUUUGACAUGGGUCCCUUUGACAAAGACCUGAGUCUAAAUGUGGUGGUCUGGGAUUACGAUCCUGUGGAUAAAGAUGACAACCUGAGUGACUGUACCUUCGACCUCGAGCAGGGGAAACACGAACGCUGGUGUAACAACAGUGGGGAGGUCUUUUAUUUCCUGUACAACCUCACCUGUGACCCUCACCUGACCGGGGACAAGUGUGAAAAAUACAAACCUUUCAAAGCCACAACACACAAACCUUCCACGCCCACAGUGCACUCUAAUCCACUCUACAGUCAGAGUGUGCAUCUCUUUUCUACCUUUUCUGUCCAGAGUUCAGCAGUCCUAUACCUAUGGUUCUUUUACAUCUCUUUAUAAUGUACCCCUCACAACGCACUGUAGUAAAUUCAUUACAGGCAGUGGGACUGUUGUCUGUACAGCUCACCAGGAACCACGUUGAAAACAAGGGGAAUCAUUGGAAUAUGUUAUCCCCUAGGUUGUACUCAGUGCAUCUUUCUCCCCUCAAUCUUUCAAUCAAUCAUGUCUUUAUCUGUCCUGUGUAAUCAGGGAGUAUAUAGGAUUUAGCUGACUAUAUAAUGAUUAUUCACACCAAAGCCUGUCUGUGACCUAAACAAAUAAAAGGUUACCUUAUAUUUAAACGGCGGCUGUCAAACAAUUAAAAUACUGUAUGUGUUAUAUAAAAAAAACUCUAAAACCUCUAAAGCCAAAGAUGUCUAUGGUUUUGAUAAAGUGUUCUUGAUAUAUUUAAAAAUUUGACAAAGGGGAAGUGGUAGGAGCUGUGUUUUAUAUAUUUGCUAAAAGCAUUUGGUACUGUAAAUCACAGAAUACUACUCUCUAAUCUAGCAAAGUUAAAUUUCUCACCCAACGCUUUAAAAUGGAUGGAUUAGUUUAUCUGACAGAAUACAGUGUUAGAAUCAACCUGAAAGUCUAAUUGUCUGGCAACUGCACAAUGGGGUCCCACAAGGAUCCGUUUUAGGGCCUUUACACUUUUGUUUAUAUAUAAAGGACAUGCUUCAUGUGUCACGGUGUUGAUAUAUAAUAUGCAGAUGAUAUUGUUGUAUACACAUGCCGCAAGUGAAAAAUAAUAUCUGCACCAGGGACUACAGAUAGCCAGUUGUCUCAAUCUGGCAUAUUUACAGAAAUGUUAAUUGAUGUGCAUUGUCCCUGUUAAAUAAAUAUGUCAAUCAAAUGAC